rnacentral:rRNA from 1 species
CAGCCGUAAACUAUGCGCGUUAGGUGUAUCGGUGACCACGAGUCACCGAGGUGCCGAAGGGAAACCGUGAAACGUGCCGCCUGGGAAGUACGGUCGCAAGGCUGAAACUUAAAGGAAUUGGCGGGGGAGGCACCACAACAGGUGGAGCCUGCGGUUUAAUUUGGACUCAACGCCGGGAAGCUCACCGGAUAGGACAGCAGAAUGAUUGCCGGGCUGAAGACCCUGCAUGACUAGCUGAGAGGAGGUGCAUGGCGUAGACGUCUGAGA